AAUUUAACAGAAAAACAAAAGCAGCAAACAAUAUCGGAGUGAUCCUUUAGAAACCCAUUGUUUUGUAAUGUCAUCUGAUACUACCUGAAGACCUAAUCAAAAAUGCUUCGAGCUGUAUUUUUCGAGUUGUUGAAAACUUCCACCGUUUCAGUGUUCUAGUACUUAAACCGUACAUCGAAUAGUGCUUGAGAGUUUGUUGUUUCCCGUAUUUGUAUUAAAUAAAAUAAAAUCAAAAUGGAAUCUCGAGAAGCUUUGCUGCUCCAGUAGCUCGAAUAUCUACGAAUGUCUCGAGCUUUUCUGAAUAUUUGAAUUGUUCGAAUUCGAAAAUACUCGAUCUACUCCAGCAGUUUGGUGUUCGAACAUUUUAAAGCACAUAGUAUAUAGCCUAUAAAUACCUCGGACUUAACUCAUCUUUAUCAGUGUAAUCUAUAUCAAUAAAUUGCAGUAAUUAUAU